AAAGCUGAUCUGCCUGGAGAUGAGGAGCGGAUAGGAACCAAGAUACCAGGAUGCAGAGAGAGAGUGAUAGAAGAAGGAAAUGGGAGAACUACAGUGAUAAAGACAGUAAACUGCAUAUGAAAAAGGAGGUGAAGAAAUUCUGAGCCAGCAAGAAGAUAAAAAGAAGAAUAGAUGCUGAAAUGUUGGCAUCUGUGAGGAAGACUGAAGGAUACGCUCAAACUAGCUUCCCACAACGAUCAUCUCAUGUGCACCUACGCCUUCCCCAGGGGCAGAGUCCCUCGGCUGCAGUGCAGACCAGACAUCAGUUUGUGUCCACCCUCAGUUCAUUUAUCACCAUGGAACAACAGCAGCAGCAGCAGACAAGGGGAAAAAAAAUGUCCACUGUAAAGAGGUGCUACCACAGGACUGCUCAGAUACAGGGUCAGCCUUACACAGGGAAGAAACAAAGGAGUUAACUGGAGAGCAAAAUGCUUUGGCAGACAAUUUUCAGUUUCCUGUAAAGAAACAGUCCUACAGCUGACUACAGGAACCAACACUUCUCCUGAAGACAGCAAAUAGCAUCUCAGAGCCCACCCGGAGCAAUGCCAGGAGGUACACUUCCUCUAGCACAAAUACAGUAAGCAUGCUGACUGUGUACUGGAGGAUCUGUGUGAAACACUCUAAAGAAUGUAACUAAAUGGGGUGACAAGCAAGUAUCAGUCUGAGAAUUUUAGGUUCAUCUUGAGAAAUCACCUCUCCUAAUCAGCAAAAUAUUUACGGUUAUCCAUGCUCACUUCCCAGAUCAACUUGUCUUGCUGGAAUUAAAUGACAUUGCUACAGCUAUCUUUUAUAUUAUUUCAGUGUCUUCACAUGCUGGGGGCAGACAGAGACACUGAAGAUAAUUAGCAAUGGAAACCUUCAGCGUGAAUGAAGAUGAUUGUUACUCAGAGCCAAACAGCAGCUCAGUAUGUCCUUGAACAAUGUUAUCAACAUGGCAGUUUUCAAGAAUGGACUGGUCAGAACAGCUGUGCAAGUAUGAGGAAAUUGCUCUCUCCAAAACUGUGAAGAGAAGAAAACUCAGGGACAGGAUGGCAGCAGGGAGUAAAGGUCAAGGGAUGGACCUUCUUAUAUUCUAAACUAGCUUCUCUGUGUAGCUAUAAUGUGUGGCAACAUUCACAUAUACCAUGGCUGCAGUUUAGUUAAGAUGCACAUAACCAAGGGAGGACAGACAAAGUUUGUUUAGCCUUUAUGUCUAUGUAUAAAUGUGCCUCCACAAAGAAAAGGUUAAAUAUUCAGACUGUCUUAGUUACUCAGUAAUCUAAAGUAUAAGAGAAAAGAAAUAUACGUAUAUAUUAUAAAAAGUGAUAUAUCAUGAGAAAAAGUGUGUUUCAAACUAUCCAGGUUCUACUUUAUGGGCACUUACAAAAGUGUAUAUGCCCUCCUACUAGCAACAAAGAAAGUUCACGGCCUUGGUUAUUUCCUCAAACCUACCUCUAUCUCACUUCUUCAGGGCAGCCAUCCAAUGAUGCUGUUCCUCAACUAGUCUUUCUUGCAGAAAUGACCUCCUGCUAGUAAGUUGACUACACCACAGAAACCAAACCUGUCCUAGUAUUUUCUUUUAUGCAAUUAAGAAGCAGUUGCUCUCAUAGAACUCCUCUGCUUAGUAAUAAAACAACAGGAAAAAAAAAAAAACAGGCCUCAUUUAAACAGAUCGAGGACAAAAAUCUAGCUCAUUCCAGCCUGGCCUUCAUUUGAGGGAGGCUAGUGAACACUUGCUAAUGAAAGUCCUCUUACCCUUUUUGGUAUCGGAAAAUGCAUUGCAAUAGGAAAAAUGUCAGCUAAAGCAAUGUUACAUAUGCUUUUGCUCUUACUUUAGGAAAGAAAAAUCACGUUUAAAACUGUUUCUGCUUGUCAGAAUUAGCACAUGAACUGCCUGAAGAGAAACGUGAAUAAAAAUACUGUUCCCCUUUUCUGUUCCCACUUGAAACUUUACUGAAACAUGGUUUAUAUAUACAUAUAUAUGUGCUCUUUCUCACAAUAGGGAAGGGCCUAAAAUGCCUUCUGUUUAAAUAUUUAGAUAAUAGUAUAUUAUUGAUUCUGUACUUAGUAUUUGCUUGACUCUAGUAAGGUUGCUAUUGAAACAAACCAGCUUAAUAUCUUUUAUGUUGUACUGACAAUGUGAAAGAACUAUGUUUACAUAAAUAAUCUUUGAACCA